CGGACGGGUGAGUAAUGUCUGGGAAGCUGCCCGAUGGAGGGGGAUAACUACUGGAAACGGUAGCUAAUACCGCAUAACGUCGCAAGACCAAAGAGGGGACCUUCGGGCCUCUUGCCAUCGGAUGUGCCCAGAUGGGAUUAGCUAGUAGGUGGGGUAACGGCUCACCUAGGCGACGAUCCCUAGCUGGUCUGAGAGGAUGACCAGCCACACUGGAACUGAGACACGGUCCAG
rnacentral:rRNA from 1 species